GUCUAUGAACAUGCUGCCCUGAACGAGCUCGAUCCCAUCUGGUCUCAGAAGCUAAGCAGGGUUGGGCCUGGUUAGUACUUGCAUGGGAGACCACCUAGGAAUAUUAGGUGCUGUAGGCA
rnacentral:rRNA from 1 species